AUUGAACGCUGGCGGCAUGCCUUACACAUGCAAGUCGAACGGCAGCGGGGGCUUCGGUCCGCCGGCGAGUGGCGAACGGGUGAGUAAUGUAUCGGAACGUACCAUUCAGUGGGGGAUAACUAUCCGAAAGGAUAGCUAAUACCGCAUAUUCUGUGAGCAGGAAAGCAGGGGAUCGCAAGACCUUGCGCUGAUUGAGCGGCCGAUAUCAGAUUAGCUAGUUGGUGAGGUAACGGCUCACCAAGGCUACGAUCUGUAGCGGGUCUGAGAGGAUGAUCCGCCACACUGGGACUGAGACACGGCCCAGACUCCUACGGGAGGCAGCAGUGGGGAAUUUUGGACAAUGGGCGCAAGCCUGAUCCAGCCAUGCCGCGUGAGUGAAGAAGGCCUUCGGGUUGUAAAGCUCUUUCGGCCGGGAAGAAAUCGCAUCAGCUAAUACCUGGUGUGGAUGACGGUACCGGAAUAAGAAGCACCGGCUAACUACGUGCCAGCCGCCGCCGUAAAAC
rnacentral:rRNA from 1 species